rnacentral:rRNA from 1 species
AAUCUUCCACAAUGGACGAAAGUCUGAUGGAGCAACGCCGCGUGAGCGAUGAAGGUCUUCGGAUCGUAAAGCUCUGUCCUUGGGGAAGAAGGGAGCCGUAAGGCUUCUUGACGGUACCCAUGGAGGAAGCCCCGGCUAACUACGUGCCAGCAGCCGCGGUAAUACGUAGGGGGCAAGCGUUGUCCGGAAUUAUUGGGCGUAAAGGGUGCGUAGGCGGCCCUUUAAGUCAGGUGUGAAAUACCAGUGCUUAACACUGGAAUUGCAUUUGAAACUGUGUAGCUUGAGUGCAGGAGAGGAAAGUGGAAUUCCUAGUGUAGCGGUGAAAUGCGUAGAGAUUAGGAGGAACACCAGUGGCGAAGGCGACUUUCUGGACUGUAACUGACGCUGAGGUACGAAAGCGUGGGUAGCGAACA